rnacentral:lncRNA from 1 species
AAAUAUAGAUCCGUGGUGUGCUAUAGGGACAUCCGUAUAUGUAAAAUAAAACGGUUAUGUUUUUAUAAUACAAAAAGCAUAAAAUACUGGUCUCGUGGUGUACCACGGGGUAAAAUCUAGUAUACUUUAUAAACGUAAAAAAGAAAGAAAAAAAGAAUUAACUCACAAUUAUAUCUUCUCAUUAGAUUUUGCUAUGAUUGUUCUGUUACGAUAAAACAGAGUUCCGAACCGUUAGAUUUACCCAAAAAAAACUCUGCGAUCCUACGGCUCUAAAAUCA